rnacentral:rRNA from 1 species
UACGUAGGGGGGCAAGCGUUGUCCGGAAUCAUUGGGCGUAAAGAGCGUGUAGGCGGUGUGUCGCGUCGGCCGUGAAAACCUGCAGCUUAACUGUGGGCGUGCGGUCGAUACGGGCAUCACUGGAGUUCGGCAGGGGAGACUGGAAUUCCUGGUGUAGCGGUGAAAUGCGCAGAUAUCAGGAAGAACACCCGUGGCGAAGGCGGCUCUCUGGGACGGUACUGACGCUGAGACGCGAAAGCGUGGGGAGCGAACAGG